GCUUGCACAUUCAAUCAAAAAUCCUUCCACCUGCCAUGGCUCCCACUUGGCGUGCACAGGGAUGCAGAGAGAACUCGGACACAUCAUAUUGUCCUCUAAGAUCUGAGACUGUACUAGCCCUGGCUAUUUGGCUAGGCUUCCGGUACCAGGCAUGUUUCCCUCCUGCUGACUUAGCUGGAUUGGAAAGAGCUGGUUGUCACGGCCAAGGUAGUGUGUUACUACCACAUCCUCAGGGCUGUUGCGCCACGCUGGUCACUGCGUGCUUCAUGGGCAUCACAGCUGUCUGGACGUUGUUGCUUCCCUCCUGGAGAUGCUGGUCCAGUACCUUCUGGCAUCAUGGAAGUCAGUUCUCAGGGAGGAGGCAUUCAGCAGCUGCUGUUGAAGGACAACACCAGUGCAGCCCACGGUGGCCUAGCACUCACCUCACCGUAUGGCUCAUGUUAACUUCAUACUCGUGACAAUACAGCUUCCCAAGAGCUGGAAUUUGCGCACGCAUCCCCUAAGGCUGGUUGUCUCUCGGAUGCCUGGUGACAGUAAAGGACCUACAGAUCAGAGCGAGUGAGUGCUCACUAAAGAUUAUCCAGAAAACUCUGCUUUGCCUCCUCCUGACAUAGGAUUAAACGACUUCAAAUUCUUCUGCCCUGGAAAAAACAGCCCAGGAACAACCUCUCCAUGGGCAGAAGGUGUAAUGGCAGUGGAGUCACCCCCCAUCAAGUGGGCUCCAGUGCUGUGGUCAGUGGUUCCCGCCCAACAGUGUCUGGCACCAGAAACAGCAUACUGGAUAAAUACAAGUGGGUGGCUAGUUUAAGACCUAAGACAGGGCUCUUAUAUUUUAUGUUGUGACAAGCGCAUGAGCUGAGGGUCCCAUGCUUUUCUAGUGUGAUUGCAGUUUUCUAAAGGGGAAAAAAAAAUUAGGUAAUAUUCCUCUCGUCGAUUUUAGCCCCAAAUGGGAGCCAGGUGUUCAAAUGCGUGAGCCUCUGGGGAACAUUUCUCAUUCUAACUACCAUAUUACACACAGCAGGUGUGUGCGUGUGUGUGUGUGCGCUCGUGUGCAGGGAGGACAGGGAUCAGUGUCUACUCUGGUAGGCCCUGUCUUCCUCGGUUGUUUUCUGUGUUAUUUGAAGGUCAGCCUCACUGAACCAGCAGCUCACCAACUCAGAUAGGCUGGCUAGCUGUCAAGUUCCAGCAGUCCACCUCAGCAGUGGUGGGGCACGGAGGCUAUCGCACACGGCUUCUGAUGACAUGCUUGCCUACCAAGCACUUCUGGCUGAGCCACCUGCCCAGUAUGGAGCCAUUCUUCAGAAAACAAAAACUCACUGGAAGGUUGAGGACAGACAAAGCACAAUUUGACUCAUUUUUAAAUUUUUAUUUUUUAUUUUUUGGUGUUUUGAGACAGUUUCCUCUGUGUAAUAGUCCUGGCUGUUCUGGAACUCUCUUUGCAGGCCAGGCUGUCCUCCAACUCACAGAGGUCCACCUGCCUAUGGCUCCUGGGUGCUGGGAUUAAAGGUGUGUGUCACAGCGACUGGCUGGGCCACUUUUUUGUGUUUGUUGUUCUCAAAUUUUUAUUCUGAAAAUGAGAAUUCUUUGUCUUUAGAUUUAUUUAUUUGUUCAUUUAUUUAUUUAUUGGUUUUCCAAGAGAGGGUUUCUCUGUGUAGCCUUGGCUGUCCUGGACUCACUUUGUAGAUUUUUAAUUUUUAAUUGUGUGUGUCUGUGUGUGCCUGUGCCCACAGAGUCCAGAAGAAGGGCUGGAUCCCCUGGAACAGGAGUCAAAAGCUGGGUGCUGGGAACUGAGCCUCAUUCUCUUCAGCAACAGUAGGCGCUCCUAACCACCCAGCCAUUUCUUUAGCUCUGCUUGCUUGUUUUUCGAAAGGAUAUGCUGUAGCUCAGGCGGGCCUCAAACUCUGCAGCUGAGGCUCUUUGAACUCCUGAUCCUUCUGCCUCAUCUUCCAAGGCCUGGGGUUCAGGUAUGCAGAACCAUGCCUAGCUUUGGUCCACAUUUUGUUCCUUUGACUGCAACAUUGAGAAUUAAUUGUAGGCUAAUGGACAGGGUGUCGUUGACCUUGAUUUUUUUUUUUUAAACAAAUCCACUUUAUUUAGGGUUAUUAAAUGCUUCUACCUCCCUUUAACCCCCCUCCCCCCAAAACCGCAUAGGAGGGAAAGAAGGUUAGUAGGGUCAGGGGCCGGAGUUCUCUUUGCUACUUCCUGCUGGGUAGGGUCAUAGGAUUCUGUUGGGGACAAUAUCAAUAGUGAAGAAACCCAGCAAACAGCAAAUGCAGCAGCAGGACGACCCAGCAGUCCUCCUCCAAGCAGCCCGGCCUUCUUCCCCUAGACUGUCAUAUUUAUAUACCCCCCCCGCCCCAGUCCUCAGACUUCAACCAAUUCCACCUGGCAAAGACCCCGCCCCUCAUGAGACACAAGUGUGGACAAACUAAAAUCCCCAACUUGGAACUGUAACAAAAACAUGUUUACCUAUCAUAAAUCAAGACAUCCAGGACAGGAUGCGGAUGCUAUUAUAAUAAUGCUAUAAAGUUAUGGUUCAACUUCUUUAAUGAUUAACUGGGUAUUGGUGGGGGCAGCUGAGAGAGUUGACUUAAGAACCUCAGGGGAAAAGAGAAGGAACUCGCAGAUAAGGGAAAAGGAGCGAGCUGGGUAUCUCUACACCUUCCCGGAGAAGGCAAUAUGGGAGCUGAAUCUGGAAGCGGAGGAGGGCGUAGGGGGCUAGUUUGUGCUCGACCUCACACUCUCCUGAGGGAUGGAGUCCUACAGUGCCACUACAGGCCCUCGAGUCUUAUGCAAUGGGAGAAAGGGCCAUUUCAGGAAUGUUCUGAAGAAAUAGGGUGAAAGACCACUAGAGCCUAGGUUUAUGUGGAAGGAGAGCCUGGGGCGCCACGGCAAGCUGGAGAGAGGUCUUGGCUUGGCUUACA